UACGGGGGGAGCAAGCGUUGUUCGGAUUUACUGGGCGUAAAGGGCGCGUAGGCGGCCACUGCAAGUCAAUUGUGAAAUCUCCGGGCUUAACUCGGAAAGGUCAACUGAUACUGCAGGGCUAGAGUGCGGAAGGGGCAACUGGAAUUCUCGGUGUAGCGGUGAAAUGCGUAGAUAUCGAGAGGAACACCUGCGGCGAAGGCGGGUUGCUGGGCCGACACUGACGCUGAAGUGCGAAAGCUAGGGGAGCGAACGGG
rnacentral:rRNA from 1 species